rnacentral:lncRNA from 1 species
UGAAAGCAGGUUCUCCUCCGUCCUGAAGCCUGGAGGAGAGCAUCUUCUGUCCAUGUUAAGAUCUGAAGUCCGGCUAUUGUUGUUGUUGUUCUAACUCGGGUUCAAGAGUCAGUAUGAGAUGACUUUAGCUUUGCUUUAAAUGUCCCAGGAGCUAAUUUGUCCACGGAGUGUAAACAGUAAAAUACUGCUGUCCUCCUUAAUCUGGGGUAGAUGGCGGAUAUUUGUCCAACAGUAACGAUUAACGGGUCGUUUAAUAUUUCGACAACGGUAAUAAUGUUAUUAUAUUUUUAAAGUAACACGGUAAAAUACUUAAGGGAAAGCUAAACUGUAGUGAACUUGCAGUUACAGAACUAAAGAUCGAUCACCUCCUUCCGGUCCAGAGCGCUACUGUUGGCGCCUAAAGCGAGGGAAAUGAACAUGUGCAGCUUUAUAACUGGGAUAAACGAAGGCUGGGCCGGAAAUACACGAACGAAGGUAGAAAACUUUAAUCUACGUUUAAACUGCAACUCAAUUAUUUUACCUAGUUAAUGAAAACAUUGAACACAAAAACUAAACCUAAAUUCUAUGGUGGCCGAGAACUGCCACUGCUGCAAAAAAGGUACUUAUUGCUAAAGUAAAAGAAUGCAAAUAAAAAAAAUCACAACAGAAGUGAGCUGUUGGGGACCAAUAAUGAUGAUGCACCAGUGUUUUACUAUUGAGGCACAGGAGACGACGGAGAGAAGACGAACAAAGAAGUUCGUGGAAAGGUUUUUGUUUAAUUUCGCUUCGUAAACUUUUUAAUGUGUCGUGGUUAGACUGUACAGAGCCUGAGUCCAUAUGUAGUUAAACUGAAGCUAACACUACACCGACAUCCUCCAGUUCAGUAUUUCACUCAUUUAUUUCUUCAGCUGUAUUUAAAAUUCAGUUUACGUUAAAUCUUUAUCUCCAUGUUAAAUGUUUCCAAAACCAGCCAAAGCCUCAAUAGGGCCCCUUUAUUUCUGCCAAUAAUAUUGAUUGUUGAUCAUUCACACACCUUCACAAAUCUCUUUGAUUAACAUUUCCUGUCAUGCAAACAAACCUUUAUCUUGGCGUUUUUUCUCGUCUUCCUCUUCCUUUUCCCGGCUCCUGCUUUGACAUAUCGGCAGUAAGAAUCAUCGGCCAACAUCAGCAGCAGCGCUAAAAUGUUUUUACUUUAUUUUAUUUUUACAAUAAUAUAUAUUUGAUCAGACAGAAAGCAUCACUCAUACAUGCAAAAAACAAAAGAUAUUUUGAAAAAACUUUAUUUUUGAUUGCUCUUGGGAGCCCCCCGAUGGCCGCGGGGCCCUCGGCAGGCGUUCAGUUUGCUAAUGCCCUGGGCCGGCUCUGAAUGGUUCUGAUAAAGGGAGCCCCUCAUUCUGCCAUUAAAGGUUUUUAGCCUCCUCCUGCACAUGUCCCAACACUAAAGUCAAUGAUUAAUUAUUGUGAAUUAAAUUCUUAGGUUUGUUUUUUUCCCGGCUCGCACAAUAUGCCGUGUGUUGUUUUUUUUAUAAGUGCAAUAUAAAUAAAUGAAAAUAAACAAAAAUAUCAAAAUACUUCAUAUCAAACCCCCUCACAGAUGGUGCAGCCUUCAUUAGAGGAAGAAUUUGUGCCAAAAAUGUUCAUGUUCUGCAAUAAUCCUUAUUUUAGGAGACUGAAACACAUGGAAGCAGCCUCCCUAACUCUCCUGUCCAGACUCUCAGUUUCAUCUGAUCCCUCUAAUCCCCUGAGAAGGAGGAGGCGGCGGCGGCGGUGGCUGUCGCUCACAUCAGACGUGGAACAAAGUGCCUGCAGGUGUCAAACAUCCAACCAGGUCCUCCUCCAAAUCCAACCGUUCAGCCUGACAGCUUCAUUUCUGCAGGCCGUCACCUGUGCACACACUACUUAUUAUAAAAACCUCACAUCUAUUAGAGAGGUCUGACAUUCACUGCAGGAACAACUAACUCAAUUAGGAAAGUGGUCAUUUAAGAAAGCUACUAUCAUUUAUUUAUUAAGAUUUCAUUUAAAUUCAAACAUCUGACACGUCAUGUGUCAGAUUACUUAUUAUAAAUUCAUCAUUUAAUGACAGAAGAAGGAAAGUGACAAACUAAAUUAACUUUCCAUUAUGUUUGAGUUUUUUAAUAAUUAUUUAUGAUGUGUAAAAUCAUGAUUUUAUCAUUUAUACUGAGUUUUCCACAUCCGUACCUGUUUUCUAGAGAAGGAGAGGGAGAGGCGUGUGGAUGGAUGAUGAUGGAUCUCCUUCUCCAUCCUCUCUCUGAGUCACUAAAACACACUCUUUUCUGAGAGUCCUUGAGCUCCAUCAUCCUGUAGGUUCCUCUGGAUCACUGCUGCAGAUGUUUUCCAGCUGCUUCGGCUACAAGCAUCAACCUCCUCGACUUUGGACGCCUGAUUGGUCAGAAGAGGCUGAUAUUAAGACUCAGACAUCCAAACGUUUGUUUCUCAGCCUGUAAUAAGACAUGGACAGACACACACAUGUAACGAGGGCCGGCUCAUUAGUCUGUCAACGUGUGUCAGGAUGUUGAGUUUAAUCAGACUGAAGCAGAAUCCAAUAAAGCUGCUAAUGGAC